rnacentral:rRNA from 1 species
GGGUCAGUAGGUUGGUCGUGCCACCGGUACGUACUGGUCUCACUGAUUCCUCCUUCCCGAAGAACCGUAAUGCCAUUAAUUUGGUGUUGCGGGGAAACAGGACUGUUACUUUGAAAAAAUUAGAGUGUUUAAAGCAAGCUAACGCUUGAAUACAUUAGCAUGGAAUAAUGAAAUAGGACGAUCGACCCUAUUUUGUUGGUUUCUAGGAUUGACGUA